GUGUUCUCCACCCACAUGUAAGCUUGUGUAGUGUUUGCUGGACGGAGCGUGCUAUGUGUACAUAAAAAUUAUGGUGUCCCCCACUCACGUGAAACGAACUGUAAAGUGCUGAACCUUAAUCUAUAGGGUCCCCUUUAAUUAUCCCAUGUUGCAGGCAAUACAUAUUCUUGGUUCUUAAAUUCUGAGAUUUUUAUUCUUGACAUAUUCAAUGGGUGAACUUCAAAUAAAACGCCCUUUCACUCUUCCUCCCUCGCCUCUACCCCCGUUGCCCUCAUUACGUGUUGACCCUCCUGCUCUGGUGUUCUCGUCAUGUAUCGAAACUCUUCCCGCUCCUGCAAAUCCAGCAUUUCCCUUUGAUCCCAGCAGGAUGAUUGGUAUCAUGAGAAGGAAGGCAUUGAUUAAAGACUUGGCUGCUGCAUACCAUGCUGAGUGCCUCACGUACGGUCAGGAACUUUCAGAACUUUAAAGUUGAUGAGCCGUAUGCAGAUACAAUGGGAUAGUAGGGGAACGGUGCUUCGGGUUAACACUCUCUCUUUCCGUCGGUGAACAAGUAUCAUUCGUUUGGCCGGCCCUAAAUCAGCAUUGCUUGAAGCUUGCAUUAAGGAAAGUCUGUCUCCAGUCUUUAGCCAAUUCCAGUUAAAUCGGGACAAGGCAGAGUUCUAUGAUCUGAGCUGAGGGAAAAAGCUCUACACUAGAUUUGAGGAAAGAAAAGAUGAGGCCACCCAAACGCUUUAAAAAGUCCCAUUAGGUAUCAAUUUCGACCUAAAAUUUGGACCUUGAUUGUCCACACACACAUGCGCUUACAUGCAAAUUACUAUU